rnacentral:tRNA from 3 species
GGUGACGAACUCCAGACUGAUAUUCCGAGCGACCGACUGAUCAUAUCAGUCGAUCGGGGGUUCAAAUCCCUCCGACCCCA